UUCUUGUUGGCGUCAGGAUCUGCUCGCGCCCAUCAGGUGAGCGCUAACUCAUUGUGCUUUUUGGUUCAGAGGGAUGUAGUUGGAUAUACAAGGUUAUUGUGUGUUUUCAUAUUCGGAUUAGAGUUACUGAAACUAAAUUAUGAUGGCAUUGUGGUUGCUUUGGUGAUUCCUGUUGCUACAAACAAUACCAAACUGCCAAGAAUAAGGACCGUACGUAAUAGAAACAACAAUUCAGUUCAGUUUAGUCUAUUUGUGUCUUCAGUUUUUUAAGUAUUCAGUUAGUCAGUCAGCCCCGAAGACAGCAAUUUAGUAGUCUCAGGUUUGUCAUGCACCCGUUGGUCAUUAAGUUUAUUUUUCUUGAGUUGUGUCUAUAUUCUCAGUAUUAGUAAUGUCUGAGUAUCAGCUCUACUUCCAGCCACAAGUAUGAUUUGUUUUUUGUCAUUCUGAGUUCUAGUAUGUAUCAGUUUUGUCCUGGUUUUCAUCGUUAAUGGCUAUAUGUGUGCUUCCUGUCCAUUCUAAAAGAACUAGUAGAGAGUUAGUAUCAGUUUUCUAUUUUUUGGUCAUAGGAAGUGUGGGUUAGGCAAUGUAUAAACUACAGCUUCUGUAGUGAGGGCCAUAUAGAGGCUAACUAAGCAGUGUGUCUGUAACUUAAUUCAUGUUAAAUUCUUGCUAUGCUAUAAGAAUCUAUGAACAUGCAGAAAUCUGAAGAUAUUACACCCAGUUACUUAAAAUAUAUCAAAUACUUGAUGAUGAAACAUUCUGAAGAUAUUAGUCUUAGUCAAGUGUCUAUUAGUAUAAGUUUGAGAUUAGUGUCUGUUUGUUUCCAAUUAGUUUCAGAAUAGUCUCAAUUACGAUUCAGAUGUAGCAAACUUCCAAUUAGUCUGUGCCAUAGUCCAUCAGUCAAUUACCGAAUUUUUUAAUUCAUUCUCGAGGUGCAUAUAUAAACCAUGUAGAAUGACCUAAUCAUUAAAGUCAUACGACCUUCGUGGAUAAGCAAGCUCGAGCCAUUAAACGGACUAUAGGGCUUGUUUUCAGAAUGAGAAGCCCCAGGGUUAGUCCGAUGCAAGUCUAAUAGCACAUAUUUGUCAGCGCAAUUUUGAUCAGUUUAAGGUUUUUUAGUCUCAGUUUAAUUUCUGCUCUCUAAACUGAAGAGUACAUCCUUUUUUUCCGUUUCGCAAGCUGGUAGUAAUGUUAACAUCUACAGAGAACUUUACAAUUACGAAAAAAAUCAGGCAGCAUGAUGGUGUUUAUAUGUUGUAGGACCUAAAUUUUCAGUCAUUGUAUCUUCAGUUUUUGUAAGUAAGCCUCAGAAGUUAAACUCCACGAUCGACUUUAGAUUCAUUCAAAUUAUCACGCUUUUCUGUCAAAUUUCAGUGCUGCAAUGACUAUUUUGUCUAGUUAAUUAAGUUGUAGUAGCUGAAGUUGAGUCUAAGCGGUGAGAGUUUCUUGUGUUUAUUAUCAUAAUUGCACUUCCAUUGAAUGAUUUUUGCAUCUCUACUAUUGUUGCUAGCCUAUGUAAUAUCAAUUGCAUCUUUGCAAUCCCUAUGCCUUCUAAUUUCUCUCUUCUAUCCUUUUGUGAUUUUUCUCUUCGGAAGAUGAAGCCCCUGCUAUUGAUUGCGAAGCCCCAGUGUGCUCUUUAAGUUCAGGCGCUUCGACUGUUGCUUCUUCUGAACUUUCACUAGAUAGUGCAAGUAAAAUUGCACCUGAUUUGCCUUCAAUUGCAGCUGUUUUUCUUUUGCAAUUACAAGCAUACCAACUAGCAAUACAAUUAUGAAGUCCUUUUUACUAGCCUAAUCUCUAGGUCCUGAUUUUUAAGCCUUUCUAGUUGCAGUUCAUUUGUAAUUUAAGUUCCCUUCAUUCUACUAGCUUUUUCUCUACGAUCCCUAGUUGUAGUAUCUGCAUGGCAUAUAAUCUAUGGUUCUGUUUUAUGUAGCUGUAUAGGGGCUGCUUCUAUGGAGGGUGGGA
rnacentral:lncRNA from 1 species